rnacentral:tRNA from 1 species
GCGGGUGUGGCGGAACUGGCAGACGCGCAGGACUUAGGAUCCUGUAGGUAUCCCCUGUGAGAGUUCAAAUCUCUCCGCCCGCACCA